rnacentral:rRNA from 1 species
GACGAACGCUGGCGGCGUGCUUAACACAUGCAAGUCGAACGGUGAAGCCCUUCGGGUUGGAUCCGUGGCUAACGGGUGAGUCACACGUUAGCAACCUGCCCCUGUCUCUGUGACAACCACUGGACACGGUGGCUAAUACCGGAUACGACCCGCCUCGGCAUCGAGUGUGGGUUGAAAGUUUUUCGGCUGGGGAUGGGCUCGCGGCCUAUCAGCUUGCUGGUGAGGUGAAGGCUCACCAAGGCGACGACGGGUAGCCGGCCUGAGAGGGCGACCGGCCACACUGGGACUGAGACACGGCCCAGACUCCUACGGGAGGCAGCAGUGGGGAAUAUUGCACAAUGGGCGAAAGCCUGAUGCAGCGACGCCGCGUGAGGGAUGACGGCCUUCGGGUUGUAAACCUCUUUCAGCUCCGAAGAAGCGAAAGUGACGGUAGGAGCAGAAGAAGCACCGGCUAACUACGUG